CUCCUCCUCCUACCUCUUCUGCUGCGGGAUUUGCGCUUGUGUCCGUUUUCUGUAACGGAUCCGGGCCCAGGCGCGUGCGCUUUCACAUCCAUGUCACCGCAGCGUUCAGCGACCUGCAUUUCCACAAACCGGGCUGCACUGGUUAAGCUUAUGGGGCUGUCACUGUCACGUGAUGACCAAACGACUCAGAACCGAAGACUCGAAGCAGGUGAACUGAUUCCAGUACAGAACCUAUAGGAUGCUGCGCAGCUGAGUGAAUCACUCCCCGAGAUGACUCGCUCUUCCCGAGUCACAUUAAAGAUUCGUUCAAAAUGAACGAAUCGUUCAAGAACGACCCAUCACUAUUAGCGUAAUGUUAGCUCACUUACUAUUAAACACGGCUAAUUUUAUUAUUUACACACAGCUUACUUUUAAACAAUUUUAUUAUUUACACACAGCAGUUAGUGUAAUGUUAGCUCGCUUACUAUUAAACACGGAUAAUUUUAUUAUUUACACAGCAGUUAGUGUAAUGUUAGCUCGCUUACUAUUAAACACGGCUAAUUUUAUUGUUUACACACAGCAGUUAGUGUAAUGUUAGCUCGCUUACUAUUAAACACGGCUAAUUUUAUUGUUUACACACAGCAGUUAAUGUAAUGUUAGCUCACUUACUAUUAAACACGGCUAAUUUUAUUGUUUACACACAGCAGUUAAUGUAAUGUUAGCUCACUUACUAUUAAACACGGCUAAUUUUAUUGUUUACACACAGCAGUUAAUGUAAUGUUAGCUCGCUUACUAUUAAACACGGCUAAUUUUAUUAUUUACACACAGCAGUUAGUGUAAUGUUAGCUCACUUACUAUUAAACACGGCUAAUUUUAUUAUUUACACACAGCAGUUAGUGUAAUGUUAGCUCACUUACUAUUAAACACGGCUAAUUUUAUUAUUUUAACACAGCAGUUAGUGUAAUGUUAGCUCGCUUACUAUUAAACACGGCUAAUUUUAUUAUUUACACAGCAGUUAGUGUAAUGUUAGCUCGCUUACUAUUAAAACACGGCUAAUUUUAUUAUUUACACACAGCAGUUAGUGUAAUGUUAGCUCACUUACUAUUAAACACGGCUAAUUUUAUUAUUUUAACACAGCAGUUAGUGUAAUGUUAGCUCGCUUACUAUUAAACACGGCUAAUUUUAUUAUUUACACAGCAGUUAGUGUAAUGUUAGCUUGCCGCAUAUACUACAUUACUUACGGUACUGCCGUUUAAAAAAUACAGCGGCAUUGCCGGUAUUUUGAAGCUUUAGUAUCGCGAUACUACUGUAGUAUCGGUAUGGUGUAACAAUUUAUAUCAACGAAACGAUUUUUUACACCUAUUUAUAAUGAUUAUGUAAAACAUGAAACAUAUAAUAGUUCAGAUUCACUGCUUUGUGACUUUUUUUGAUUAAUUUGCGAUUAUAUGCACAGAUUGUGAAAGUAACCGGAUACGUCUGCAUAUAAACUGGAUAUGAACUAGAGAUAAACGUGUUGUUUGACAAAUACAGACACAAACUGCAGGAAAGCUGAUAACAAUGUCAUCACAUUCAGCUCUAAGAUUUGUUAAGCCCCACAGACACACAAACAUAAUUUAUUACGGAGAUUUGCAUGAGGAAACUGCAGCUACAAGAAGUUUGAUGAGGAGCAAGAGGAACAGCAGAGGCACAUCGAGCUGAAAGGAUGGGGGGUUCCUGAUGAUGCCUGGCUGGAACAUCUAUAUUCCCUCUGCCAGAGCUUGAGAAAAAAGGCUACUGCAUACGAACAAAUGCAAGAGGCCAUCACGAGGUGUGUCUGUACAUGAGUAACUUCUCAAGUCCUGGGACUGCAACAGUCUACACUGCGACUCUAGGAACUACAAUGCAAUGGGUAAAAUAAAUAGAUCACAACUAGUUUCAGACCAAAGAGAUGACUAACAUCAACAAUGCGUUUAGUGAAAAGAAUUAAUAGUUUGGUUUGAGUAAACAGGACGGAGACAACCAAGAAAGCCAGUGUGAGAAAACCAGCUAGUCAAAGAAAGGAAGCAGAGUUGAAUUUCCCAGCUGUAGGCAACAUAGCUACAAACAUGACACCUGUAGAUAGCAAGAGCAAGCCUUUAGGCAAUGUGGCUACCAGGAAGCUGGCUGUAGUUAGCCAGGAAACAGAACCUGAAGAUUUAUAACACUUCCUGCGUAGUAUUGAUGGUGACCAGAAAGAAUGCAGAAGUAAGAAUUUCAUUGUACAUGUUGUUACUGUGCAUUUGACACUAAAUUCCUGGAUUCUACAGCCUGCAGAGGGAGACAGAGUUCUAUGAGUUACAACCAUCAGGCUUUUAGGGGUGAACUUAAAUUUAUACAAACUGAACUUAAUACUUUCUUCCCACACGUUGGUAAUAAAUUAAUAAUAAUGAGAAGAAGAAGAAGCAAAAAAGAAAAUCAUUACUGUUGUCUCUUUUUUUCUUCAUCAUCAUCAUAGGCAGAAUCAGAAGUGCUGGUAAUUAUAUUAUAUAUUGUUAUCAAGGAAACCUACCCAUAAUUCCAUCACAAGAGGUGGCAACUUAGCUAAAAAGACAAUCCGAGCAGGCAGAGAGAAAAAAAACUGUACAAAAUAAAACUAGUUAUUCAUUUAUUUUUUAUUUUUUGUCCCAAGCAACACUAAGAAAACAGUGAGGCAAAAGUCAGGUGAAACCACUACUUAAUAAUAAGCAGCACCUCCCUUUUUUUUUUUUUAAGUAAACCAGAGACCACAGCUCCACCCUCUUUCUUUCUAUUGGUUCACAAAACUGAAGCUUUACCUACUUUACCUAAAAGUUUACCUAGAUACAUUUGUCAUGAAGUGAAAGUAACCAUUAGCAGGAACAAAUGUGUUGUUCACGUCCCCUCGUCCUUUCCCCUUCAGUGAACUGGCGUUUCUGCCAGGUGAAUUUUACUGAAAUUCUCCGUAUCUCCUUAACUAAGGGUCAAAAAAUCGUAAAUAAUACAACUAAACCAUAGAUGUUUUCACCACUGCGUCCCUAGGAGGGGGUUUUCUAU